CACGUAGGGCGCAAGCGUUGUCCGGAAUUAUUGGGCGUAAAGAGCUCGUAGGCGGUCUGUUGCGUCCGCUGUGAAAACUCGGGGCUUAACCCCGAGCCUGCAGUGGAUACGGGCAGACUAGAGGUAGGUAGGGGAGAAUGGAAUUCCCGGUGUAGCGGUGAAAUGCGCAGAUAUCGGGAGGAACACCCGUGGCUAAGGCGGCUCUCUAGUACGUGACUGACGCUGAGACGCGAAAGCGUGGGGAGCGAACAGG
rnacentral:rRNA from 1 species